rnacentral:lncRNA from 1 species
AUGAAUUCUGCUCAGCACAUGCAGACGACUCCUGUGACAGACAGAGAACAUGAAGAAGCACGGUCUUUCCAUGCAUGAUGGUGGGAAUCCCAUCCGAGAGUCACCGGUCCAGUGGAGUUAGUUGGCAUUAUAUCUUGGGCUGCAAAAUAGACGUCAUGAGUGUGAGAGUCCGAGUCGUAAGGAACCCGCUGGGGUACAGAUGGGAAACACGGACUUAAGUGUAUGUUUCAUAUACUGACAGUGGGACAUGGUUCUAUAGAUCAAUUAUAAUAAUAAAUAUUUUAAUUUAUCAUAAUUUAUAAAAGCUUUGUUGUUUAUCAGCAGAGGAAAUGAAGGAGCCGGAGGAACUGUACUGUGCCCCGCUGGAUCCCAGCGGGUGGACUUGGCAUGCCUUCCAUGAUUCAGGGCAAAAGUGUUAAGUGUUGAGACUUAUUUUAAAAAAGACUGAUGACACACUAUUUUCGUAUUUUUUUGUUUAUUUGCACAACUUUAAACCAGAUGACUGGUUAAAAUUGAACAGUACACAAUUUAUAAAGUGAAAAUCUUUUAUAAGGAAAGCAUAUGACAUGUGAAUACACAGGGAGGUUUGGCUUUGGUUGUUUUGUUUGGUUUUGUUUUUUCUUUUUAAGAAAAACCCUGCCUAAAAUAAUCUUGUAAAAAGUAUGUAUUUUAAAAUUUUUGUUUUAAUAUAGAAUAUUAUAAAGCCAAAAUAUAAUUGUUUUCAGAUUUGGAGUUUAAAAUAGAGCUAUAGAGGUGGUUCUGAUUCUUUGACGUCUCAUAAAAUGAGACUUUUGUAUAUUAAUGUAUAAUAAAACUGAAAUAAGAUUAUUUUCCUUGAAAUUUUUGUAUAGUUUAAAAAUGCUUCUGUGUUCUUUGUUGGUAUUGGGCCACUGCAGAUCUUAGUGCAGAGUUUAUAUUUAGCUAGACUGUUAUGUUAAUUAAGAAAUGCAUAAAUCUUUUAUUCUUAAUAUUUGUAAUUCUAAAUAAAUCAAUCUAUGAAAUUU